rnacentral:tRNA from 1 species
GGAGGCGUAGCUCAACGGAAUCAGAGCAUCUCGCUACGAACGAGAAGGUUGAAGGUUCGAAUCCUUCCGUCUUCACCA